GACGAACGCUGGCGGCGUGCUUAACACAUGCAAGUCGAACGGACGGGCCCUGCUCUUGUGGCGUGCUUGUUUGGCGAACGCGUGAGUAACACGCGAGUAACCUGCCCUUAACUUUGGGAUAUCUCCAGGAAACAGGGGCGAUAAUCCCAUAUGAGCUCUUGCACCACGGUGGUGGAAGGUAAAUUUCGGCGGUUGGGGAUGGACUCGCGGCUUAUCAGCUUGUUGGUGGGGUUGUUGCUUACCAAGGCUUCGACGGGUAGCCGGCCUGGGAGGGGUGCCGGGCACAUGGGUACUGAGGUAGGGCCCAGACGCGUACGGGAGGCAGCGGUGGGAAGUCUGGCAGAAUAGCGCGAAGCCUGAGGCAACGGCGCCGGGUUCGGGAAGACGGCUUUCGGGGUGUAAACCGCUGUCGACUUUAACGAGGAGAGAGUGACGGUAAUGGGUAAGGAAGCAACGGCUAACUACGUG
rnacentral:rRNA from 1 species